AGGUAGUUGUCUAAAUUAAAGUUGCAAAUUAAAGUUGCAAAGUUGCAAAUAAACAUCUGAUUGUCACAAAUCAAAGCAUCAGCUGAUGCGCCAAAGCCUUAAUUAAGUUGGCAACUCCACUUAGCAUAGCUCAACUGUUGAGUCUAUCGAACGGGGAGUAAGUAUUGCAUUGAUCCACACAGAGAUGCUUUGAGCACUCACUAAGGGCAGCCAUCUUCACUUAUGCACUUUUUUUCACUGAGAACAUUAAUACAUCAGACCAAAAAUUUGCAAAGAAAAAUUGCAAAAAUAAAUAUAAAAUAAUACUGCAACCGAGAAAGGAAUGCCAACACUUUUGGGCAUUCGAGAUUUUCUUUUGUCCCAACUUGGAUUGGCCGGCUCUUUUAGAGAAUUUAGAAUUGCUAAAUUUUCUCUUUGCCACUGAUUGCUUAUUGGUCAUACCGCUGGCAAUUGCACACGCUAGACCCUCCAUAGAGUGUAAUAGGUGUUGCACAUUGCGGUCCUCGCCUUCCCCCCCCACCUGUUGAACAGGUGCCACUAGUGAAGCGCACGCGGAUAUUCACCCUAACCUGCAAGCCUAAGGGAGAAUUGGUGAAGGCAGCGAACCUCGCUGCGAACAGCCAGCUAGAGUGGGAAUAAGGCGAUAAUCUUGCGGCAGCGAAUCUUCGCUGCAGAUUAUCAAACGGUAUUCGAUAGCGGCUAAGCGAAGGCGAUACUAGAGACGUUCAAAGGAGCGUAGAUCUUCCGGCGAGAGAUCUACGGCUCCACACAAAA